AUUGAACGCUGGCGGCAGGCCUAACACAUGCAAGUCGAACGAGUGGCGGACGGGUGAGUAAUGUCUGGGAAACUGCCUGAUGGAGGGGGAUAACUACUGGAAACGGUAGCUAAUACCGCAUACCAUCGGAUGUGCCCAGAUGGGAUUAGCUAGUAGGUGGGGUAAAGGCUAACCUAGGCGACGAUCCCUAGCUGGUCUGAGAGGAUGACCAGCCAGACUGGAACUGAGCCACGGUCCAGACUACUACGGGAGGCAGCAGGGGGGAAUAGUGCACAAGGGGCGCAAGCCUGAUGCAGCCAUGCCGGGUGUAUGAAGAAGGCCUUCGGGUGGUAAAGUACUUUCAGCGGGGAGGCGUUACCCGCAGAAGAAGCACCGGCUAACGCCGUGCCAGCAGCCGCGGUAC
rnacentral:rRNA from 1 species